AUGGUGGGAAGCAGGUGAGUUGAUGCCUACUAACAGGUGCUGCCAUGAUGGAUCUAAAAUGACAGACUGACUCUUGGGCCACCGUAGAAGGCUCCAUAUGUGCUUUCAUUCCACAGUACCGUCCACAACAGCUGCGAUGUCAUCGCUGUUAUUCCCAGUUACCAGAGAUAUGAUGGGAGGACUUGGCUAUGGUUUGCUGUAGAGGCCGCUUGAAAUGACUUUGCGUCUACCGUAAUGAGGCCUGCUUAGGCACCGCGUGGACUGCGAGCCUGAUCUGUCUGCUGAAUCCCAUUGAGCCACGGCGACGUGUCAGCGAAUCACACAUUAGAUAUUGUAUUAUUUAUUGUUUACUUUAGCGCAGCCUUCCUUGCAUGUCAACAUUUUCCCAUUGUACGAUUUCAAGUCUUUGAAUGCUGACAUCGCAUUAGCAGCCAGUUCCAAAGCCCCCAAAUAAUGCAUUAACUAUUAUUAUUCCUUCUGA